ACUCUGGUCUUGUAAACCAAAAAUGAAGAAUUACAUCUUCUCAGGACA
rnacentral:tRNA from 1 species